rnacentral:rRNA from 1 species
UACGUAGGGGGCAAGCGUUGUCCGGAAUCAUUGGGCGUAAAGAGCGUGUAGGCGGCUUGGUAAGUCCGCUGUGAAAGUCCAGGGCUCAACCCUGGAAAGCCGGUGGAAACUGUCAAGCUUGAGUCCGGAAGAGGAGAGUGGAAUUCCCGGUGUAGCGGUGAAAUGCGCAGAUAUCGGGAAGAACACCCGUGGCGAAGGCGGCUCUCUGGGACGGUACUGACGCUGAGACGCGAAAGCGUGGGGAGCGAACAGGG